UUCAAUCUUUAUAUUGUGUGUAUGGAAAAUGAUAUGUUAGUAGAGGCAACACUCACUUCUCUGAUUCAUACAUUUCAAAAAGGGAUUAGUAUUUGCUAAGUGUAAUAAAGUGAAACAACCUCAUCAACUAAACCAACAACCCAAAAAAACAAAAAAGAACCUUGUAAAAACAUCAUAUUCUGAAGAAAAUACCAUUACCGCCAUAAACGGUAAAAAUCAGCUUCUUGAAAAUGUUAGGGUUUCGGAACCGGUUAUAAGGAGCAGCUUAAGAAGGAAGGCACUUUCCUUGAAUUGAUUACAAAAAGGAAUCUCUGUCAAUUGUAAACAUCGAAUAAAGGAGGAAAGAUGAAAUAACUCUGAUACAGAAAGAAACGAGAGAGAUUCGCAAGUGAGAAUAGAGAGAAUGAAAGCCAUUGAAGAAGAAAACAGAGGCAUCGAAAGAAGAGAGAAUAGAAAGGUAAGAAUGAGUGAGUGAUCGCCACUGAGAGACUAAGCGCGUGAUGGAGAGAGGAAGAGAGAAU
rnacentral:lncRNA from 1 species